GUAGGGAAUCUUCCACAAUGGACGAAAGUCUGAUGGAGCAACGCCGCGUGAACGAUGAAGGCUUUCGGGUCGUAAAGUUCUGUUGUAAGGGAAGAACAAGUGCCGCAGGCAAUGGCGGCACCUUGACGGUACCUUGCGAGAAAGCCACGGCUAACUACGUGCCAGCAGCCGCGGUAAUACGUAGGUGGCAAGCGUUGUCCGGAAUUAUUGGGCGUAAAGCGCGCGAAGGCGGCCUCUUAAGUCUGAUGUGAAAGCCCCCGGCUCAACCGGGGAGGGCCAUUGGAAACUGGGAGGCUUGAGUAUAGGAGAGAAGAGUGGAAUUCCACGUGUAGCGGUGAAAUGCGUAGAGAUGUGGAGGAACACCAGUGGCGAAGGCGACUCUUUGGCCUAUAACUGACGCUGAGGCGCGAAAGCGUGGGGAGCAAACAGGAUUAGAUACCCUAGUAGUCC
rnacentral:rRNA from 1 species